rnacentral:misc_RNA from 1 species
GAUGAAGAACGUAGCGAAAUGCGAUAAGUAAUGUGAAUUGCAGAAUUCAGUGAAUCAUCGAAUCUUUGAACGCACCUUGCGCCCUUUGGCUAUUCCGAAGGGCAUGCCUGUCUGAGUAUCAUGAACACCUCAACCCUCAUGGUUUGCCAUGAGGGGCUUGGACUUUGGGGGUCUUGCUGGAUUGUAGUCAGCUCCCCUUAAAUGAAUCAGCUUGCCAGUGUUUGGUGGCAUCACAGGUGUGAUAAAUAUCUACGCUUGUGGUUUUACAUCAGAUAACCUUCAGUGAUGGAGGUUCACUGGAGCUCAUAAAGGUGUCUCUCCUCUGUGAGGACAGCUCUUUGAAUGUUUGAUCUCAAAUCAGGCAGGACUACCCGCUGAACUUAAGCAUAUCAAUAAGCGGAGGA